UACAGAGGUCUCAAGCGUUUGUUCGGAUUCAUUGGGCGUAAAGGGUGCGUAGGCGGCGCGGUAAGUCGGAUGUGAAAUCUCGGGGCUUAACUCCGAAACUGCAUUCGAUACUGCCGUGCUUGAGGACUGGAGAGGAGACUGGAAUUUACGGUGUAGCGGUGAAAUGCGUAGAUAUCGUAAGGAAGACCAGUGGCGAAGGCGGGUCUCUGGACAGUUCCUGACGCUGAGGCACGAAGGCCAGGGGAGCAAACGGG
rnacentral:rRNA from 1 species